GAUGAACGCUGGCGGCGUGCUUAACACAUGCAAGUCGAGCGAGAAGUUUUGAAAAGAUUCUUCGGAUGAAAUUUAAAAUGGAAAGCGGCGGACGGGUGAGUAACGCGUAGGCAACCUGCCCCAUACAAAGGGAUAGCAUUUGGAAACGAAUAUUAAUACCUUAUGAAACUUAACUAGUGCAUGCUAGGUAGGUCAAAGAUUUAUCGGUAUGGGAUGGGCCUGCGUCUGAUUAGCUAGUUGGUGAGGUAACGGCUCACCAAGGCGACGAUCAGUAGCCGACCUGAGAGGGUGAACGGCCACAUUGGAACUGAGACACGGUCCAAACUCCUACGGGAGGCAGCGGUGGGGAAUAUUGCACAAUGGGGGAAACCCUGAUGCAGCAACGCCGCGUGAACGAUGAAGGCCUUUGGGUCGUAAAGUUCUGUUCUAGGUGAUGAAAACUGACAGUAACCUAGGAGAAAGCCCCGGCUAACUCCGUGCCAGCAGCCGCGGUAAUACGGAGGGGGCAAGCGUUAUCCGGAAUUAUUGGGCGUAAAGGGUACGUAGGUGGCCUUUUAAGCGUAGGGUAUAAGGCAAUGGCUCAACCAUUGUUCGCCCUAUGAACUGGAAGGCUUGAGUGCAGGAGAGGAAAGCGGAAUUCCUAGUGUAGCGGUGGAAUGCAUAGAUAUUAGGAGGAACAUCAGCGGCGAAGGCGGCUUUCUGGACUGCAACUGACACUGAGGUACGAAAGCGUGGGGAGCAAACAGG
rnacentral:rRNA from 1 species